rnacentral:piRNA from 1 species
UAAAAAGACAUACUAAUCAUUGGGCUCUAC